rnacentral:lncRNA from 1 species
CUUUAAUUAUGUGUAAAGCAUUAUACUAGAACAUAAGGGGAUGAGAAAAGGCAUAAAACUAUCCCUGGCCUCACAGGAGCUUUGAGAAAAGGAUGCAAAAGGAGACAUAUAUAGAACCAUCUAUAAAUACAAGAUAAGCAAGUAAUGUGAGCCAGGAGCAAGGUAAAAAUAAAGUACUACGAGAGAGUAGAGGAGCGAGACCAUGACUAGGGUGGGGGCAGCCCAGGGAGCCCUUGGAUGGGAAGAGGGGCUGAGAAGUGAGGUGGCGGGUGAGGUGGGGGCACCCUAGGCAAAGAUUGUCUUACAGGCAAAAAUGCAUUUGUCAUGUGCCAGGCAAUUGGUACAAUGGGGGAAUCAGCCAGACUAAAUUAUUCUCAGGGGUCAGAAAACAGCCAAGUGACACAGAAUUAGACAAAUGGAAUCAGUCCAUUUAAAACUGAACCAAUGGUGCUAGAUUCAUUGCACUACACUCUAACCACUUUUAGAAUAGAAAUAUUGCUCGCCAAUUUUCACUUCUCUCUCCUCUCCAGGCACAGAGAAAAGAUGACUACACUUUCCAGCAUCCUUGUGGUCAGGGAAGGCCAUCUUACCAGUUUUGGCUAAUGAGAAAAGGUGACCUGUCUCACCUCUGAGUGGGGGCUGUGAAAAGCUCCAGUGCAAACUUCAGUCAGCCUGGUUUUCUGUGUGACCACGUGGGUCGGUCGGCCUGGUUCUCUGUGUGACCACGUGGGUCGGUCGGCCUGGUUCUCUGUGUGACCACGUGGGUCGGUCGGCCUGGUUCUCUGUGUGACCAUGUGGGUCGGUCGGCCUGGUUCUCUGUGUGACCAUGUGGGCCGGUCGGCCUGGUUCUCUGUGUGACCAUGUGGGUCGGUCGGCCUGGUUCUCUGUGUGACCAUG